AAAGUGAAUAAUACGUUUGUCUUGUUUUGAUUUAAAAUUGUAUUGCUAAAAAUCUCUCGGGAUUUGUACUUCCGGAAGGAACGCUACUUCCUGAUGAAAAGCCGAAAAGCCCGCUCAACUCCCACGCAAAUUAACAGAUGCAACGGCGAACAUCACGUACAAUCCAGUGACACAUCAUGUGACAUGGCUCCGUCAUUAAAUCGAAAAUUGCUGUCAAUGAUUGAAGGACGUCAAACAAAGAGGAAGAAACUGAAGUUGAUUAAAUGGCUCCAAAAAAAAAAAAUUGCUUAAAGCAAAAAUGAAGUGCAAUUUAUGCCAACAUAAAAUGAAGCUGACUCAUAAACCCAACAAAGCAGACAACUAUGUUUGGUCCUGUACACGAAACAGACAUAAGGGAAGGUUCAAGUCAGUGAGGUAUGGAUCACUUUUUGCCAAGUCAAAGUGUAAUUUAUUCUCCUGGAUGAAGUUCAUAUAUCGGUUUGCUCAAGGCCUUCAGUUGAGACAAAUCGACAUGAUUGAAGAUGGCAUUGCUGGAAGCUCACGUACACUCAGCAGCAUGGCCAAAAAAGUUCGAGCUAUUUGUAAAGAAUCCAUGAAGUUGUAUGCCAGAAGGAAGGACCAAAUGAUAGGACAACCCAGGGA